GGAGUUCCGGGUGGGCGUGGGCUUGGCGGGCCCUGCACUCGGAGCAGCCGGCCAGCCCUGCCGGUCCCGGGCAAUGAGAGGCUUAGCACCCGGGCCAGCGGCUGCGGAGGGUGUACUGGGUCCCCCAGCAGUGCCGGCCCACUGGCACUGCGCUCGAUUUCUCGCCGGGCCUUAGCUGCCUCCCCGCGGGUCAAGGCUCGGGACCUGCAGCCUGCCAUGCCUGAGCCUCCCCGCGCUCUGUGGGCUCCUGUGCGGCCCGAGCCUCCCCGACGAGCACCACCCCCUGCUCCACGGCGCCCAGUCCCAUCGACCACCCAAGGGCUGAGGAGUGCGGGCGCGUGGCACGGGACUGGCAGGCAGCUCCACCUGUAGCCCAGGUGCGGGAUCCACUGGAGACUGAGACACUGGAUUGGUGCCUGAAACUGGUACACACAGUGGGAGGAACGGAUGAGAGCAAGCAUGGACAACCACAUCCCUUGUCAAGCAAACGUCAGAGCUAGAAUGGCUGCUGAACUUACUGCAUCUCCCAUUGGUGAAACUUCUGGGCAUGCUUACAAGGUUGUGAAAUCAAGGCCUAUCCCUGUUGCUAGAGUUUACAAUCAAAAGAACACAGAACAAAUACAAAAAUAAGCCUCAUCACAUAGGACUGGCAAACUCAAGGAAGAUCUUGGACUUAAUUAUUUUGAAAACCUAAAAUGAAGGGUUUGUUUCAGAAAAGAAAGAGAAGGCAAUGAGUUAGAUAUAGGCAUUUGGGCUUCAAAGGCCUGGAGCUGUUAAAAACAUAGGUUUCUUUUCCAGAUUACAACUUUUGACACCCACUGGGGUUCAUUCUUUUGCAGAAGUGCAUUCUGCCUUUUAGAAGGAAAAUAUUAUCUUCAGCUCUCUGAAUUAUUCAAGGCAAACUCUGAAGCCAGAAGCAUCCAUAAUCAUAUUAUCAUCACAGACAAUAAAUAAUACAGCAUUAGAAACAGUAAGUUCCCUGAUACAACUCAGUGAAACCCAUAGUCAGGUUCUCUAUGUCAUAUUAACAUAUCCAAGUCAACUCCUAUGCUAUAUUUCUGUCUUUCUCAAAAUAAGAGUUAUCACUGUUAUAGAAUAAGGGAAUUAUCAAUGUUAUACAAAUCUGCUGCUAGCAUUGAGUUAUUUGGUGUGUGUCAGCCAUCCAUCAUCUGUACACAGAAGCUGCACACAGAAUCUGCGUAGACUCAACUACCUGUUUCAUUAUGAUAUUCAAAUGGAAAAAUGCCCAGAGUUUCUGCAAAAUAAAGUUACUUACACAGAGCUUACUACAUAAUACAAACCCAAUAAAUCUUGACUAUUGUUUAAUUAUUGUUAAUUUUUCAUGAUUCUCCCUCUGACAUUAACAUUUGAAAGAACAUCUUCAUGAAAUCAUAGGUAGGGACAACCAAACCUUAGGAAGUUUUAUCAGCUUACAGGACAACUAACGUACACCAAAAAUAUAUCAUUCUAUUUAAUAGAGAAAAAAAGCUAAGAUUUCACAGCCUCUCUUCCUGAUUCAUUUCAGUGUUUAACAACCCUGUCAGGAAAUUCCUCAAUUAUUCUAACCCAGCUACCUCAUACUGCAGUUUAAGUUUAUUUCCUCAUAUUCUGGCUUCAACAGAGAUAAAGAACAGAUGGUCACUAUCCUUUGCAUAAUAAUAAUAUUAAUGUUUUAUGGGUACAAAGACUUAGUAAAUCUUUUCUUGAUUAUUUUCUUUACCACAAGAAAGUCUAGUUCAUUAAACAUCAUCAGUUGCACUAUGUUUGAAUAUACUAGACAAGUGUUAAAUAUCAAGAAAACACAUCUAUUAUUUGUAACGUGCACAAAACAUUCUCAAAUUUGAAUAUUUUGAGCAACCAUCUGCAUACACUAUAUUUCAGCAAGGUAGCAAAUGAUGUUUUUGAAUAUUUACUUGAAGAAGAGAAAAUUCUUAAUUAAGCAAUAGUAGAAUAACUUCUGCAGAAAAAUUAAAAUGUAGAAUAAGUUCUGCAGAAAAAAUGAUUUGGAUAGAGUUUGUCAUAUUUUUGAAUUCACGUUCAACUUAAAAGAUAACCGAAUAAUUGUAGAUUAAUUUACCUAGGCCAAUAUAAACUUCAGAACAAAUUAUGAAGAAAUACUUUAUAAAAACAAAACCACAAAGUUCUGAAUAAAAAAAUAACACCUAUCAUCAAUGAGCCUUUGAUAAGACUGAUGAAAUAAGCAAACAUCUGUUAACUUAGCUCAGAAAAGUUGAGAGUAUGUCAACUAUCAAAUAUAAGAUAAAAACAAAAAUUUUUACUAAAAAGUAGAAUGUCUAAAACAUGGACAGUUAGAGCAUUUUUGUGUAUAUUUUAAAAGCGAAAGAAAGAUUUCUGGCAUCAAAAGGGCAAUUCACUUAUCUACAUCUUCAGGGAUUAAAUUUUAUCAUUUUAGUUGUUUGUCAUCUUAUUGUGUUUUUCUUUUCUGUGUGUUUUUUCCCAGUAUAUUUGUUGUCUCUGUCUCUCUCACACACACUUUCACAUGUCCAGAAACUUUCCAGCUUUUAAAAAACUAUUCACUCAUAAAAUUAAAUUCUAUUCCUAUUAACAAAUCACUUAUAUAUUGAAAAUUAUAAGAAUUCAAUCUAAAAAGCGUGAAUGGCUUUUCGUCUCCCUAGUACUCUGGGAUAGAAUGUUGAUGUUUUACAAGUCUGCUCUAAUUUUCACAGGAGUGGACAAACCUACACACAGAGCUGAACAUUACAUAUUUUCCUGACUUGUUUUCUACAAUUUUUAUACUUACCCAAAUCCAACAUGCUUUUUCCUAGAAAAUGUUCUCAGGUUCUUAAACUGUUCAUUUCAGGAAAACUCAAUCUACUUGUAUGGUUCGGUCUUGUGUAUCAUCUUACACAGUAACAAAAAAGCAAAUUUGAUUCAUUUAAAUUACAGUUAAAUUCAUUUCUAAAAGACAAAUAUAUCUUUGUCCACUUAAAUGGAUGUAUGUCCAUCACACAUAUGUGAGAGAUUGGUUGUUAAGAACUCACAGCACCAAUAUAUCCAUAUUUGUGCUAACAGAGCAUGCUAACUUCCUUUUCCUAAUCCCUGCAUAUUUUGUUCUACAGUUGUCCUAUAAACAUACAAUGUAAAAGUACAGCUUCCCAUUCAUUAGUGGAAACAUGUAAGCUAUGUGCAUGUCAAAAUCUUAUUUUAAAGAAUUUCAAAUAAAUUUUAAAGAACUCUUUUAAAAUUC